GAUUCUGCAGCAUCCUCGUGCCAGGGGCAGGGGAGCCCAACCUGGAUGCCCUGGAGAACAAUCCCUACCGGAGCCGGCGCCAGCGCCAGGAGUGGGAGGUCAAAGCUCUGCUGGAAAAGAUCCCGUGGCCGUUGCUGU